rnacentral:tRNA from 1 species
AUAAACAUUAUAUAUGCUUUUUAAAAAGUUAGAAGCUUUUUUAAAAUAUUUCUUU